rnacentral:rRNA from 1 species
UACGUAGGGCGCAAGCGUUAUCCGGAUUUAUUGGGCGUAAAGAGCUCGUAGGCGGCCGUUCGCGUCGGAUGUGAAAGCUCAGGGCUCAACCCUGAGACGCCAUUCGAUACGGGACGGCUAGAGGUAGGUAGGGGAAAGUGGAAUUCCUGGUGUAGCGGUGAAAUGCGCAGAUAUCAGGAGGAACACCGGUGGCGAAGGCGGCUUUCUGGGCCUUACCUGACGCUGAUGCGCGAAAGCCAGGGGAGCGAACGGG